AACGCAGAGUUAAGGUGCCGGAAUACACGCUCAUCCGACACCUCAAAAGGUGUUAGUUCAUCUAGACAGCAGGGCGGUGGCCAUGGAAGUCGGAAUCCGCUAAAGAGUGUGUAACAACUCACCUGCCGAAUGAACUAGCCCUGAAAAUGGAUGGCACUUAAGCGUGUUACCCAUACGCUGCCGUUAUUGUAAAAGCGAAGCAAUAANN
rfam:Rhizopus microsporus genome assembly, contig: SCAF658